rnacentral:sRNA from 1 species
GCUGGGCGUGGUGGCGCACGCCUGUAAUCCCAGCUACUCAGGAGGCUGAGACAGGAGAAUCGCUUGAACCUGGGAGGCGGAAGUUGCAGUGAGCCGAGAUUGCACCACUGCACUCCAGCCUAGGCAACAGAGUGAGAUUCCAUCUCAA